GUCCACGCCCUAAACUAUGUCAACUGGUUGUCGGGGGAUUGAUUCCCUUGGUAACGAAGCUAACGCGUGAAGUUGACCGCCUGGGGAGUACGGCCGCAAGGUUAAAACUCAAAGGAAUUGACGGGGACCCGCACAAGCGGUGGAUUAUGUGGAUUAAUUCGAUGCAACGCGAAAAACCUUACCUACCCUUGACUUGUAGCGAACCUCGCAGAGAUGUGAGGGUGCCCGAAAGGGAGCGCUAACACAGGUGCUGCAUGGCUGUCGU
rnacentral:rRNA from 1 species